CCUACAGUGGCAUGAAUGGCGCGUUGGACUUCUAAUCCAAAGAUCGUGGGUUCGAAUCCCAUCUGGAAUGGA